CCUACGGGUGGCAGCAGUGGGGAAUAUUGCACAAUGGGCGCAAGCCUGAUGCAGCGACGCCGCGUGAGCGAUGAAGGCCUUCGGGUCGUAAAGCUCUGUCCUAAGGGAAGAAUAAUGACGGUACCUUAGGAGGAAGCGCCGGCUAACUACGUGCCAGCAGCGGCGGUAAUAGGUAGGGGGCGGGGGUUAUCCGGAAUAACUGGGGGUAAGGGGGGCGUAGGCGGGCCUGCAAGUCGGGGGUUAAAUUCCUGGGCUCAACCGAGGUGAGCUCUUGAAACUGUAGGGCUUGAGGGCAGGAGAGGAGAGCGGAAUUCCUAGUGUAGCGGUGAAAUGCGUAGAUAUUAGGAGGAACACCAGUGGCGAAGGCGGCUCUCUGGACUGCAACUGACGCUGAGGCACGAAAGCGUGGGGAGCGAACAGGAUUAGAUACCCGAGUAGUC
rnacentral:rRNA from 1 species